rnacentral:rRNA from 1 species
UGGGGAAUCUUGCGCAAUGGGCGAAAGCCUGACGCAGCGACGCCGCGUGAGUGAUGAAGGCCCUCGGGUUGUAAAGCUCUGUGGAGGGGGACGAAUAAGUGUUGGCCAAUAUCCAACAUGAUGACGGUACCCCUUUAGCAAGCACCGGCUAACUCUGUGCCAGCAGCCGCGGUAAGACAGAGGGUGCGAACGUUGUUCGGAAUUACUGGGCGUAAAGCGCGUGUAGGCUGCUCGGAAAGUCGGAUGUGAAAGCCCUGGGCUCAACCCAGGAAGUGCAUUCGAAACUUCCAAGCUCGAGUCCUGGAGAGGAAAGCGGAAUUCUCGGUGUAGAGGUGAAAUUCGUAGAUAUCGAGAGGAACACCGGUGGCGAAGGCGGCUUUCUGGACAGUGACUGACGCUGAGACGCGAAAGCGUGGGGAGCAAACAGGAUUAGAUACCCCGGUAGUCC